GAUGAACGCUGGCGGCGUGCCUAAUACAUGCAAGUCGAGCGAACAGAUGAGGAGCUUGCUCCUCUGACGUUAGCGGCGGACGGGUGAGUAACACGUGGAUAACCUACCUAUAAGACUGGGAUAACUUCGGGAAACCGGAGCUAAUACCGGAUAAUAUAUUGAACCGCAUGGUUCAAUAGUGAAAGACGGUUUUGCUGUCACUUAUAGAUGGAUCCGCGCCGCAUUAGCUAGUUGGUAGGGUAACGGCUUUCCAAGGCAACGAUGCGUAGCCGACGUGUGAGGGGGUAGGGCGACUCGGAAGGUGAAAACCGACCCUGGCACUUAGGGACGGCGCAGGUGGGAACUCUCCGCAAUGGGCGAAAGCCUGACGGAGCAACGCCGCGUGAGUGAUGAAGGUCUUCGGAUCGUAAAACUCUGUUAUGAGGGAAGAACAAAUGUGUAAGUAACUAUGCACGUCUUGACGGUACCUAAUCAGAAAGCCACGGCUAACUACGUG
rnacentral:rRNA from 1 species